CAACCCUCAAGCUCUGCUUGGUAUUGGGCCUCGCCGUCGCGGCGGGCCUUAAAAUUAGUGGCGGUGCCGUCGGGGCUCCAAGCGCAGUCGCAUCUCUCGCUUUGGAGGAUCCGGUGGUGUCCUGCCAGACAACCCCCUAAUUUUACUAU
rnacentral:misc_RNA from 1 species